GGCCGCGGGAAUUCCUUUCAGGCCUAACACAUGCAAGUCGAACGGAAAGGCCCUCCUUGCAGGGUACUCGAGUGGCGAACGGGUGAGUAACACGUGGGUGAUCUGCCCUGCACUUCGGGAUAAGCCUGGGAAACUGGGUCUAAUACCGGAUAGGACCAUCGUUUAGUGUCGGUGGUGGAAAGUUUUUCGGUGCAGGAUGAGCUCGCGGCCUAUCAGCUUGUUGGUGGGGUAAUGGCCUACCAAGGCGUCGACGGGUAGCCGGCCUGAGAGGGUGGACGGCCACAUUGGGACUGAGACACGGCCCAGACUCCUACGGGAGGCAGCAGUGGGGAAUAUUGCACAAUGGGCGCAAGCCUGAUGCAGCGACGCCGCGUGGGGGAUGAAGGCCUUCGGGUUGUAAACUCCUUUCAACCAUGACGAAGCAUUAUGUGACGGUAGUGGUAGAAGAAGCACCGGCUAACUACGUGCCAGCAGCCGCGGUAAUACGUAGGGUGCGAGCGUUGUCCGGAAUUACUGGGCGUAAAGAGCUCGUAGGUGGUUUGUCGCGUCGUCUGUGAAAUUCCGGGGCUUAACUCCGGGCGUGCAGGCGAUACGGGCAUAACUUGAGUGCUGUAGGGGAGACUGGAAUUCCUGGUGUAGCGGUGAAAUGC
rnacentral:rRNA from 1 species